rnacentral:rRNA from 1 species
AUACGUAGGGGGCGAGCGUUGUCCGGAAUGAUUGGGCGUAAAGGGCGCGUAGGCGGCGCGGUAAGUCUGGAGUGAAAGUCCUGCUUUCAAGGUGGGAAUUGCUUUGGAUACUGCCGCGCUUGAGUGCAGGAGAGGUUAUCGGAAUUCCCGGUGUAGCGGUGAAAUGCGUAGAGAUCGGGAGGAACACCAGUGGCGAAGGCGGGUAACUGGACUGCAACUGACGCUGAGGCGCGAAGGUGUGGGGAGCAAACAGGAUUAGAUACCCUGGUAGUCCACACUGUAAACGAUGAAUGCUAGGUGUAAGAGGUAUCGACCCCUUUUGUGCCGGAGUCAACACAAUAAGCAUUCCGCCUGGGGAGUACGGCCGCAAGGUUGAAACUCAAAUGAAUUGACGGGG